CUUUCUUUUGGAAGAUCCACCAGAUGACCAGAAGGGACCAGCGGGUCUUGAUUGCAGUGCCAUAGAAACGGCUAAUCAAGAUGCUCAAAAGUACAACCAUGAACGCCAAGCCCAGAAAGACUUGGAUGGAAGAGACUUAUCAAUUGACCNNNNNNNGAGAAAACUGAAGAUUGUGCUUCAGAGGAAAAGCAACCUCCAGAUUCCUCAAAUGAUGAACCCACAGAGAAAUUAAAUGCUGCAAAUGAUGCAGUUACUGUAAAUUUUCAUGAGGAAGUUGAAAUUGGUAAAUUGAAGGAGUCUAGUGACUCAUUACAAAAGGAACCUCAGGUAAGUGCGUUAAAGGAAUUAAUUGAGAUGCAAUCCAAGUCUCCAUGUCCACCAAGUUCUAUAAAGGAG
rnacentral:misc_RNA from 1 species